CUUGAGUCAAUGUAAUAUGAUUGCAUUAGCAUUUUUAUUUUAUUUUUAUCAUUGAGUUAUCUGUUUUUACUCGUGGUACAUAGCUGAAAUGAAACUGGUUGCAGUGGUAUGCCAGAAUGCAAGCUUGGCCUUAACAAUCGAGUGUUGCUAGAGGCACAAGGCAGAGCAACAAAGGGAAAAGCUAUUGAUUUGGAAGACAUCAAAUUUCAUCAGUAAAGAAGAAGGGUGAUAAAGAUGAGAGGAAGCUCAAGAGAAGGAUGACUAAUCCAAUGUAUUCUGUUUUUCUUUUUAUUAAUGGGCUUUGAUGUUUGUGGAGUUUAAUCUUUUUUUGGUUCCCAAUAAAAUACAUUAUCUGUGAUUGAACUUUCA